GAGAUGAAGGAUCCAUCAGCCAGUGAUGUUCACCAUUUAAGUAAAGCAGCCCUAUUGAGAUUGACAUUGUCCAUCUGAAGACUUCACUAGAAACAAGAUUGGACAAAAAUCUCCUGGAGCCCAUCUGGACUGACUCCAACUGAGUCCUGGCAACUUUCACUACAGUUAAGCCUCAUGGAUUUUCUCCCUCAAUCCAACUUUCCUGUUCUAGGCUCACUUCUCAGCCAGUCCAAGAUUUACCAGCUCUGUCAAUGAUGAGCCCACCGGGGAGCUGCACUUACUGUUCAAGAAGACUUCAAGUGCUAUAAAUCCUGAUUGCCGAGACACUUAACACUUAUGGACCACGUUGUUGCUUCAAGCUCUCUU